rnacentral:lncRNA from 1 species
AGAGAAGAAUCUCACAUGGGAAAGCACAUGUACAUCCAGUCGGGACUCAUGCAUUUCCCAACAGAGAGAGAGAGGGAGAGUUACAGCAAACUGGUGCGAUACUACUCUAUGAUCAAUUUUACAGAUGUGAUGAAGUACCGAGGAUCAAGGAGGCAAUUGCAAAUUGCACAGAAGCCUAAACUUGUUGCCAUUUCCUUCACCUUUCUGGAAAUAAAAAGGAAGAAAGAGUUUCCCACCGUGUUCUCCUUUCAGUAAUAUAGAGAAAACUCUGGAGGUAAACCAAAAUCCUUUUGAUUGAGAUUAGAAGUCAUUAAAACCACUUAACAUGGGUUAUAUUGAUAUUGUUGUGAAAGUACAAGUGAAAUAACACCCAUGGUAGAUUAUCAACUGGAUAAUAUACUAAUUGAAACAAAAAUAGUUUCGAGGACUAGGGUUUUUCUGAUAUUAUGCAAGCCAUACACAUGAAGAGUCAGAGUACACAAAUGAAAA